UUGUUGCAGAGAAGGAGGAAGGGGCAGCGGCUGCGCUUCCGCUCUGGGACACAGAGGAGACCCAGAGAAGUAAACCACUGAUGUCAGAGGGCAGGCAAUGGAACAGUGGGGAGCCAAGGGCAUCAGGGGUCCAGCCCAGAGACGCAGAAGCAGAGCAGGGCAUGGGAACCCUGAUGGUUCUGCAGGAAGUUCACUACAAGGAGGGAGAACUAAGUCUGGAACAGGCGCUCGGAGCUCAGUCCUCACCAGAGAGUCACAGAUUAAUCCCUCAGGAGCCUGGAAUUACUCACUGCAAAGAAGCUGCUGAUGCUUUCAUCUUGAAGUUACAAUGACUUUGUAGUGGUCGACACAGCACACAGCGUGAGGAGGCGUGAGGAGGCAUCCAAAGAAGAGAAAGCCACACAGCUUCCUGUCCCUUCUGCCACACGGAAUCUCCGUUUGUUUGAACUAUUGAAGUCUGGUCUGAAAUGAAGGAGCCUGUCGAUGGCCCGUCAUGUAGGCGUGGGACGCCUCCCCUUCUGUUUCCUGGUUUGCUGGCGCGCCGUGGCUCUGCCGGAGGGCGUCUGUUCUCAUCCCGUGUUUUCCAGUCGCUGCUCUCCACGCUGGAAGGACCCAUGAAUGAUCGUGUGUUCUUAGUGGGGCUGAGCAGACACGCCAAUCUGAACACCUGACUCCAGCGAGGUAUGCAGUGUCCUCGGGGAAAGGAAGACCCAGAUGGCAGCAUCCGUGACGUCUUUGCUUUCAGUGGUUCGUGGAAACGCCCACCCACCCCAAAUUCUCGGGCCUGCCGUGUGAAUCUGCAGAGCAGUCCGUAAGGAAGAGAAAGCAGCAGCCUGGGCGUCUUGUGCGGUGAAAGACUGAACACAGGCAAGAGGGCGUUGUCAAUUGUUGGAAAGAAGAGAUGAGAGUGUGGGCUGAGAGCAGCCGAAGUGACUCCCAGAGGCCGUAGCUUGUACCAGGCUUUCCAGCAGUCAGCCGUGGAGGUGAUGACACAGACCUCCUGCCUUUGAAGGAAGAGUUUUAUUACGUACAAACCCCAGGAGAAGGGGCCACGUGGAACACGGCACACUUCGGACUGGAGGCAAGGCAAGGAGAAGCAGGGUGGGAGCCUCUCCUGCGGGUUUCCACAGCAAUGGCAAGGCAGGCGGGUCGGCAGGAGGGUCGGCGACUCAGGGUAAGGCAGUCCGAAUAAUUUCAGCGGGCUGUGAACAAGCAGGAAGGUGUUGGUUGGUGCCCUGGGUCAUUAGAGGAGGGGGAGAUCUUAGUUUGGUGUUUGAGUUAGAGGAGGAAGGUGGCUGCAGACACGGGACGUGGGUUGGCUGGUUUGCCUGUGAAAGGUGUGCUCCUAGGGAGUCAUGUGCUAGUUAGGAAUCAGCCAGCCCUAGAGGGACAGUCUGUCCUGGCCAGCUAGGUCCUCAAGACUUCAAAACACCAUAAAAUACAGAAAACAAAAAACAUGGUCACUCCAUUGGGCAUUUCACACCUGGGUCAGAGUGGCUACUGGGAGAGGAAAGGACCAUUCAUCUACCAAAUUCAAGACCACACCACAGUGGUUUAGCCCAGCGAGUAGGACGCCGGGUCAGCGAGUUUCUGCAACCGCUGCUAACCACGGCCACUGUCUCUGAACACACCGAGGUGGGGAGGAUGGGAAGUAGAGACGGGCGCCGAGGACCUUAUGGGCCACGACUCGAGUGAGGAAACCCAUAGUAGGAAAAAGUUCACACAGUUUCUGCCUUCCCAAGAUCACAUGAAAGGACCUCCUCUGCCCGCAAGACAGAAAAGCAGAACCCACUUACCCCGGGCCUGACCCAGGUAGAGCCAUGGACAGUGCGUACGGCACAGACGUUGGACGUUGGGCGGAACAGGUCAGCCUGUGUCUGCGAGAGGGAACACAUGGAGGCUGAGUCAGGCACCUCAGCCCAGGACUUGAGGAGUCUCUGAGCACAGCCGGGGGUGGGAUGAGUAGGGGGCCAGGCAGCGUCCCUGGGCUGACAAUAUGCCGGGAGCUCAGCGGCCACAGGAGGAUACACUUCCAGGGCAGAGUGGCAGGCAGGAGACAAUGUGCAGCAGGCCCUGGGGCCUCGGGCAGAGCCCUCCCACCUGUUACCCCAGGAAACAUGGUUAGAUGAAAGGUGACAAGCCAGGGUCACAAUUCAUGCUGACGAAGGUCUACCCCUCCUCCUGCCUAACACCCAAAGCCAGCCUUGAAAGGAUCACAGAGUUUCCCAUGUAGCCCAGGAAGCCCACAUUUAGGGCUCUCGUGUCGCUCUUGUUUGGGGGGGACGACCAAGAGUGAAGAUUGUGCACCAUCUCCAGCAAGUACGACCCCGGAGUCAUGGACCACCUGUUGUCUUCGUGUUGCUUCAGCCUUUCCCAGGUUAAUUUUAAUUAUUUUCAUAUUUCAUCAUACUAGGAUGCCCUCGACCGUCAGUAUGACAAUACUUUAGGCUCCCUUUAGGGAAGGAAAAUCUGACAAAUGCACAAAAACACAAUAUUGAUCAUUUCAUGUUCUAGCUUUAAGGGUUCUCUUAAACCACACUUAUGUGUUAAUCACCAUCCUUGUGAAUCAAGGAAAGAUAAAUUUAAGAGAAAUAAGUCGGUCAUGGAUUCUGAAAACUUCAUAAAGCUGCUGUGGCCCCUCCAGCUGUCACAGACCUCAUCACUUCCGUCGGUGGCGGUCCCCUGCUCUGGUCUGUGCUGCAGAGAUGGCAGGUGCCUCCCCAAAUCACCUGACAUGGAGCGGGCACGUUAUCACCAGCAAAACGCACCUGUCCCACGGGGGAAUACAUACGGAGAAAGGCUCUGCUGGCUGUGUCCUUCUCCUGAGAAGUCACCGUAAGGUGCAAAGAAGGGGGUGUCUCCUUCCCAGAUCCUGCCCCCAACGCUCUCCUGGUGGGUAAAACGGUGGCGUUUCCCGCAGGAGCCUGACCGUGAGCAGCAGCGGGGAGCAGGAAGGAACGCGGGUCCCUGUUCCCUUCACGGAUCCGCUUGUGAACGCCUUCCUCCGGGUGUCCAUCCAGCGAGAGGAAUGAACUUGUAGUCUGUUUCUGCCGCGUUAUUCUGUUAUUUGGGCUGUUCCUGCCUCAAGCAACUAGAGCGAGGCCUAGCCGAUGUUUGUUCACAGGUUGUCGUCCUUGUGAAAUCCGGGCUCUCCUACAUCCUUACGUGAAGGGCCACAGCCUCACAGGCACGGUCUCACAUUCUCGCGCCUUUAUUUCCCCAAAAUACAAUCUCAAGAGGAGAAUGUCUGGGUGGAGAGGUCUGUCCGUUUUUCAUGCAAAGAGAGUCUGUCAAGUCGCUUUCCCCAAGUCUGUUUGGAAAAAAUCCUGUAUUUCUCUCCCUUUUUGUUGCCCACCUGGUAAGAACGGUGUCUCCUGUUGCUGUAAUUUGCAUUUCCGUGAUUACUAAGGACUAUGAUUAUCUUUCCUAGUUUCUUAGCCAACUUGGAUUUGCUCUUUUGAGUUUCCUGUUCAGUCUUUGCCGUUACUCUCUGAGCACUGAGCUUGUUCUUACAAAUGACGAAGAGAUGUUUCUCAUCAUUAAUACCAGCUCGAGCUAUCUGUAAUUUUCCCCAAUCUAGGGUCGAUGAUGUUAUCUAUUGCCAUACAAAAUUUAAGUUUUUUAACAUGUAUUAUUUUAUUUUAUAGUUUCCGAGUUCCUAUUUUGGUAAAAUAAAUAAAUAAAUAAAUAAAUAAAAAUAAUAAAAAUCUCUGAAACUUCA